rnacentral:rRNA from 1 species
UACGUAGGGCGCAAGCGUUAUCCGGAAUUACUGGGCGUAAAGAGCUCGUAGGCGGUUUGUCGCGUCUGCCGUGAAAGUCCGGGGCUCAACUCCGGAUCUGCGGUGGGUACGGGCAGACUAGAGUGAUGUAGGGGAGACUGGAAUUCCUGGUGUAGCGGUGAAAUGCGCAGAUAUCAGGAGGAACCCCGAUGGCGAAGGCAGGUCUCUGGGCAUUAACUGACGCUGAGGAGCGAAAGCAUGGGGAGCGAACAGG